AUACGUAGGUGACAAGCGUUAUCCGGAUUUACUGGGGCUCAACUCGGGCGCUGCUUCUGAAACUGCAGGACUUGAGUGCUGGAGGGGAUAGCGGAAUUCCUAGUGGAGCGGUAAAAUGCGAAGAUAUUAGGAAGGACACCGGUGGCGAAGGCGGCUAUGUGGACAGUAACUGACGCUGAGGCUCGAAAGCGUGGGGAGCAAAAAGGAUUAAAUGCCCUUGGAGUCCACGCCGUAAACGGUGAAUACUAGGUGUAGGGGAUAUCGACUCCCUCUGUGCCGCAGUUAACACAAUAAGUAUUCCGCCUGGGGAGUACGGCCGCAAGGUUGAAACUCAAAGGAAUUGACGGGG
rnacentral:rRNA from 1 species